UAUGGAGCCUUCGCCUGUCCGAUCCUCCUGCCUUGGUAUGGGGAAGCGCUGAAGCGCUGGCUGAGCCCCGAAGCCGCCCUGUGCUGUUAUUGGUGUCAAAACCGCACUUUAGGGAUGCUUCCUUACAAGGGAAUUCAAUCGUUAUAGCCUUUUGGAUUGGACUUGCUGCUUUUGUGGCAUUUCUCUUCUUUAUUUUGUUCUACAUCUCUCAGACUGGUUACACAUCAAUAAAGAAUGGAAGACCACACAAAACAUUUCCAUGGAAUUAUUCAAAAAAUAAACACUCACAAGAUGUGGUUUCUAAACAUGCUGGACCAACCCUUGCAGAAAACCAAGUGGAGGAAACAGAAGGUUCAAGAUUAAGUAAUGCACAGAAAUAGAAUGGCACAGACUGGUGGCCUAGGAGAAAUUGUGGGGAUGGGGAUGAGGAAGUAUUUAGAAAUUCUCCCUCUCUAGAUGCAACUCUCACCUUACUGGAUAUGAUAAGCUCUUAGGGGCUUAAGCAGACCCCCUCCACUGUUUUCCUUUUUCCUUAACCAACUCAGAUUGGCAUGCUAGUCAAAUAUUGACCAUCUAUUGUG